rnacentral:lncRNA from 1 species
UUUUUUUCUUGAUUUCACUCAAGUUUUAUAAAGUAAGCAACCUUUAUACUUAUUGGGUGUGUUAAAAUUUGUUUUGUUAUGGCUCAAGAAAAUUGAGGGGAAUAGAUAAUAGAAAUAUUUCACACUAGGGACUUAACUUAAAAUUAUAAAAAUUUUUUUUUUUUCAGAUAAUAAGAAAGGGAAAUAACAAUGAAAGGGAAGGUAACAUACUUGAAAAAUGGAAAUGGAAGGAACAAGUUUUCCCCCCCAUACUUAAAUUAAACAUUGUCCCCAAUGUUUUAAGGAAAUGAAAUACAAUAUGGAAAGGAAAAAGAAACUACAACUAAGGUUGUCUUCCGCCUCUGGUUCUUGGACCUGGUGAUCUCUGACGUAAGUCUAAGUUGUCGAACCUGCUAAACAACUCAGUAAACCGCUGGUCGGUUAUGGCAUUCCUAGCAUCCUGUUGCUGUUGCAUUUGACGCAUCAUCUGCAGCAUUUCGACAUUCUGUGCCUGCAUACCAUCGAUAGCAUCCAUAAUGUCGUCGUUGGUUGCAGGCCUUCUUCGUCGACGACGUUGGGAGGAUGGGC